CUUCUAGAUGGUGGUAGCCCAGUGUCUAGAGGUGUCAGGCAUAGAAAAUAUUCAGAGGCAAAGUAGUUCCUCUAUAUGAUAUUCCAUGCUGUCAUGAUUUUGUUUUGCUUUGAGGGUCUGGUGUAGACAUGAAACAUCAAUGGUAAAAAACACGAUAACGGUUAAAUUAUUGGGCUCCAGUGCCUGCUAUCAGAGCAACAGCCAAUCAGUGAAGAACUGC